GAUGAACGCUGGCGGCGUGCCUAAUACAUGCAAGUCGAACGCAUUGUGGUUGAAAUGAUAUGAAGAACUUGUUCAGAUUUGAUUUUCAACAUUGCAAUGAGUGGCGAACGGGUGAGUAACACGUGGGAAACCUACCUCUUAGCAGGGGAUAACAUUUGGAAACAAAUGCUAAUACCGUAUAAUAAUUAAAACCGCAUGGUUUUAGUUUAAAAGAAUGGUCUUGCUAUCACUAAGAGAUGGUCCCGCGGUGUAUUAGUUAGUUGGUGAGGUAAUGGCUCACCAAGACAAUGAUACAUAGCCGAGUUGAGAGACUGACCGGCCACAAUGGGACGUGAGACACGGCCCACUACUCCUACGGAGGCAGCAGUAGGGAAGUACUU
rnacentral:rRNA from 1 species